rnacentral:rRNA from 1 species
UAAAACUUUCAACAACGGAUCUCUUGGUUCUGGCAUCGAUGA